AAAGGGUUUGAAGAUCAGAAUGUACUAUCUUCGCUCACAUGCUGCAGCCAAUGCAAUCAAGUUCACUGUCGAUACUUCCAUGCUCAAGGAAAACCCUAAGGUGGUGGGGGUGGAAGGGAUAAAGCAAUGGCAGGAACUUCAUUGAAGCACUUGUAAAAUAAACAGCAAAUUUUUGUAUCUAAUCAAAUGUUGAGUGUUUAUUUUACAAUGAGCUUUAGCAUCAAAUGUUCAUGGAGUGAUGAAUUGAUCGAGACAAGAAAUUCAAACAUAAUGUAAAAGAAUGCUAGAUGGAUAUAUCUAAUCAGGGAAAAUGGUGAAUUGUUACAAGAGAUAACGCCACUUACUGAUAAGUUGUGAGAUCAAAAAUUUCAUGUAUAUUUAGUUGUGUCAGGUAUUGCUAUAAGGUACUUGUUUUACAUUGCUUUGAAAACAUCUUUAUGUUGUCAUGUAUUUGGGUUGCAAAUGUGGUUGAUAUGUUAAAAUUUCUCCUGAAUCAAAUUUUAGACAUUGCAUAUGUGAAAAAGAUGCUCUCGCUGGCCUUAAGAUUGCUGCAGCCCAUUUCCAGCUGAGACAGUACCGUGGUUAAGAAUAAGUACUCCAAGAAAAAGCAGAGAUGGAGAGGCUAAAUUUGGCAGAAGUGAUUUAUAUAUCUGUUAUUUGCUUUCCCUUACUGUUGGAUAGCUCAUUCAUGAGGGAGCUUCUCAAAUUACAAUGGAUUCUCUCUUUGAAAUCAUUUGAUGACUCAUUGUGAUAGACGGGCAUCUCUUUCCCAAAAUUUAGACAUUGCACUGAUGAAAAAUAGUGCUCUUGUUGGGGCUCAGAUUGCUGCAUCUCUUUCCCAGCUCAGACAACAUUGUAGUUGAGAUCGAACCAAAUUAAUCUAUGUAGAUAUGUUCAAGUUCUAAGUAAAAGUUUCUGGCUGAUUUACCGUUUCCAUGUUGGAUGAUAUGAGCAAGUGCCCCUUAGCAAAGAACAAUAAUAAAUGUGGAGAGCUGAUGAAUAUUCAGGUGGCUACCCUGUGGAAUGGUGCAACCACGGUUUCUGCAACCAAAUUUUUUGCUUCUAUGGUUGGCACCCCAGUGUUUGUUACCGGGGAAAACAAGAUGUAUACCAGCAUGGAGAGCAGACGAUGGAUAUAUCCCCAGAUCUUAUAGAGCCUGGAAGUGAUUCAACUGUGAUUAUAAGUUACUAUUUCUGAAUUUUGUUACCAUCAGUACAGGAAACUCAGGGAGUUUGUGUUGCUGCUUACAAGACUCAUGAGUUCUCAACUUUUUCCAUUGAAACUAGUGGCUGCAAGGUUCAUAUUCAAUGAUGGUGUCUAACAAUCAUUCUGGUUUUGUUGUGGCACUCUUUUUUUCACCAGAAAAAGAGAGGUUUCUCCAAGAAUGUGUCUAUGCAUUAGAUGUCAAAUUGUUGGUCACAACUUUAUGUCUAGAAAUCAUAUACUUGUCCAUUUACAUUUUAAUGUAUGAGCAAGUAGUAAGAAAUUUCUUUUACAAGAAAAAGAAGCUGAGUGGGAAAGCAGUUCGACAUGCUGGGCAACUGUUGAAGGCAUAUAUGAGGUAAUUUUUUCUUUUUCUUUAAACCAAUCUAUUUGUUCCAUCCAAUUUGUGAUUUAAAAUUUAAUUCACUUGUGAAGAAAAUACUUUAGAGUUAAUUGUUGAUGGCCCUUCAUCCGUUUGGAACAUCUCCCAUAUGCUCUUCUAUAUAAUCAUAGCCAUCCAUCAUCACCAGUUAUGAGGAGGAGGAGAUUGUUGAAGACAAUCUCAUGACAUGUUUUGCGCUAUUGGAAGAGAGAAGUGAUAUAUGUAGAAGAAUACUCAAGAAGAACUCAUUUAAGAACUUUGUAUCAUGCUGGAAAAAUUUGACAGACCCAGAAAAAUUAUCACAGUGUGUCAUUUCGCAUCAAGGAAG